UGGGGAAUAUUGCGCAAUGGGCGAAAGCCUGACGCAGCGACGCCGCGUGGGGGAUGAAGGCCUUCGGGUUGUAAACCCCUUUCAGCAGGGACGAAGCGAAAGUGACGGUACCUGCAGAAGAAGCGCCGGCUAACUACGUGCCAGCAGCCGCGGUAACACGUAGGGCGCAAGCGUUGUCCGGAAUUAUUGGGCGUAAAGAGCUCGUAGGCGGUCUGUUGCGUCUGCUGUGAAAACUCGGGGCUUAACCCCGAGCCUGCAGUGGAUACGGGCAGACUAGAGGUAGGUAGGGGAGAAUGGAAUUCCCGGUGUAGCGGUGAAAUGCGCAGAUAUCGGGAGGAACACCGGUGGCGAAGGCGGUUCUCUGGGCCUUACCUGACGCUGAGGAGCGAAAGCGUGGGGAGCGAACA
rnacentral:rRNA from 1 species